rnacentral:lncRNA from 1 species
GAUCCAUGUCGCGAGGCGGGCAAAUUAUUGCAGAAACCCUCAUGCUCCUAAACGACCAUAAGAAACUGAGCUCAAAUUUGAAGGCAUCACUUGUAUCCUGUGAAAGAGAAACCAAAGAAUGACCAAACCCCUCAGAAAUUAUGUAGCUCCUGGCUGAUCGUCACCUGCUGAUUCCUCUAACCAUGCUUGGGGCAAAGGUAAUGCAGCUGUAAAACUGACUGUGAAUUCUACAAGGACUUAUUGAGCAGACAUGUCUGAGCAAAGGACCAGAUUGCACAAUGGUUGGCAUCAGGUGCCACUGGGGCUAAGUGCAUGGUCACUGUUCCUCUCUUCUAUAGUGAUAGAUUAUCUCUGAUGCUGGCUUGCUGCCUCGAACAAAUGCCCUGAGUGAAGUGCCAGAUAAGAGAAGGGAUGAGUCCACCUCCAUUUAUAAAAUCUAAACUAACUCCGAGCCCCUAUGGCUCACUGGACAGCCAUCGGUAAGUGGUGUCUAGAAGGGAUUGCUGUAUUUGGCUAUAGGUAGACGAGGGGACAUUUGAGUCUCUGACCAUUGGUUAAAAGGGCAAUCUUGGAAACAACAGACACUGGGGACUCCAAAUGUGGAAAGGAAAGGAUUGGAGCAAAGGUUGAAAAACUACCUAUUGCAUACGAGGUUCACUAACUACAUGAUGGAUUCAACUGAAGCCCAAACCUCAGUGUUACGCAAUAUACCCAUAUAACAAAUCUGCAUAUGUACCCCCAAAUCUAAAAUAAUAAAAAAAGAAAAGAAAGCCAUUGCUGUUUCCAUUCACCAUAAGACACAGGUUCUUUACUUGGCAGUAAAAUAACCAAUUCUGGAGCUAUAAGAAUCUCUUUGAAUCCUGGAUCGGGAGAUCACUGGCUCUGUAACCUAGGACUUAACCUAUCUAAACUUGAAUUUACAAAUCUGUAAGGGAGGGGCACUAGUAGAACGUAUGUCACUGGACAAUUGUGAAGAUUGAAUAAAGUAUUGUAAGUAAAGCACUUGGCACAUGUUAGAUGCUCACUGAUUCCUACUUUCUCCAUUCCUUCAUGACCACUCCCAUUUACUACUUUUUUUCUCCCUAUUUUACCAAAUGGAAGCAGAGGUAUUAUGUGUCCACAUUAUUAUUAUUUUAGAUGGACAGAAGUGAACCUUUGACAGACUAGCUGAAGUAUACUGAAGUAUAAUUUCCAUACUCCACUCCCUAUUACACACACGCGCGCGCGCGCACACACACACACACACACACACACACACAGAGAGAGAGAGAGAGAGAGACUUUGCUCAGAAUGGAUGAAAGAAGGGUCUUUCACUUGUGAUGGUAAUUCACUCAUUUUUGCUCUACCCAAACUGUGAGUGUUAACUUCCGCUGCCGCUGCAGCUGCUCCUGCUGCUACUCAACACAGCACCCCACCCAGGGGAACAUUCAGCAACUUACACGAUUAAAUGGAAAGACUCAGGGAGAAAAUUUGGGGCUGAAUGAAGGUUAUGGAAAGAGAACUGUUUUCAGAGACAAAGACAUGAGUUCUAGUCCUGGCACUAAUUAAUUUGUAUUGUCAUUCAGCUAUAGAAAAGCCACUUAACCUCUU